UGAGAAGACACUCUGACUGCACCAGCCACAGAGGGAAAAACGAAAGUCAAAUGGAUUUAUUACUGUUCUCUGUGCUGCUUCUGGCUGUGGGACUUGAAGGUGACUGCAGACAUCAUAUAUGUUGCCCAUAGCAGCCAUGCCGGGAGUUGGUGUCAUCUUGAAGGUUCCUGAUGUGACUGGAAUUGGAGCUUUUAACCUCAUGUCGAUCGGUACCUGUGCUCCAUGUGCUGUUAUUACAGGCAAUUUUACAUGGUAGUACAAAAAAACUGCUAGUGCUCUACUUUAAUGCACACCUUGUUUACAGCUUGGUCCAGUGUUGUCUGAUUACUUUGAUUGUUGCUGAACUUUAAAUGUUUGUGCAUUUCUGAAGACACUUAGAACACAUGAGCAAAGAAGGGUACAACCUAUCUGGAGACAUUCGACUAUGCUGCUUCUGUUACUAUUUGCAAUGAAAUAAAUAUGCUUACCUUGAAA